ensembl:lncRNA
CAAGAGAUUUCUGUGUAGCCACAGCCCUGUUUUCUUCUCACAAUUAGAAAAUCACAUAGUCCUGAGAGACAAGGGCUAAGAAGUGAGACCUAGACUCAGGUCUCUGCUCUGCCAUUGACUCAGUGGAUGACCUUGAAGCUGGACACGCCAAUUGUUUUGAUGAGCAUGUGUGUAGACCAAGCAUAUCCCAACCAAUGCAGUCCUCCCGCAGUCUCCACGGGAAAUUGGUUCCAGGACCCCUCCAAGGACACCAAAAUCUGCAGAUGCUCAAGUGUUUUAGUUGGCUCUUGGUAUCUGCAGGUUUCGCAUCUGCAAAUUCAACCAAGUCCUAACCAUCCUUGCAUGUGCGGUUUGAAGUCCCAUCUUCUCUGGAGGACUCUGCUGAGCCUCCCUCGCUCUGACUCUGAAGGAAUAUCUCCGUGACACCGGCACUUACCUAGCAAUGCAAGGCCAUGUGUCAAGUAUGUCUCCCUAUUUAGAUUAAACUCCUCGAGGCCUGGAAUGAUGUUUUAUGAAGUUCUGUGCAACCCACUCAGCACAUGGCACAGAGCCUGGUAUUGGGAGCCCAAAGCGACGCACUUUGGACUAAGGCCGACAGAGGUUCAACUCCAGCCCUUUCAUUCACUGGCCAUGUGGGACUUUGAGCAAGUGACUUAUACCUUUGAGCUUUGCUUUCUUAUUCCUCAGGAAAGCAGCAAGAAUAGAACCUAUCCGGAAGAACUGUUGUAACUAUCGAAUAAGAUGUUUGUAAAAGUACCUAGC